GACGAACGCUGGCGGCGUGCCUAAUACAUGCAAGUCGAGCGAAUGGAUUAAGAGCUUGCUCUUAUGAAGUUAGCGGCGGACGGGUGAGUAACACGUGGGUAACCUGCCCAUAAGACUGGGAUAACUCCGGGAAACCGGGGCUAAUACCGGAUAACAUGUUGAACCGCAUGGUUCGAAAUUGAAAGGCGGCUUCGGCUGGCACUUAUGGAUGGACCCGCGUCGCAUUAGCUAGUUGGUGAGGUAACGGCUCACCAAGGCAACGAUGCGUAGCCGACCUGAGAGGGUGAUCGGCCACACUGGGACUGAGACACGGCCCAGACUCCUACGGGAGGCAGCAGUAGGGAAUCUUCCGCAAUGGACGAAAGUCUGACGGAGCAACGCCGCGUGAGUGAUGAAGGCUUUCGGGUCGUAAAACUCUGUUGUUAGGGAAGAACAAGUGCUAGUUGAAUAAGCUGGCACCUUGACGGUACCUAACCAGAAAGCCACGGCUAACUACGUGCCAGCCGCCGCCGUAA
rnacentral:rRNA from 1 species